CAAUUAAAAUAGAGGAGGACAGCUUAAGGGAGCUGUGGGACAAUGUGAAACGUAAACAAUAUUAGAAUAGCAGGUGUGCCAGAAGAGGCAGAAAGGGAGAAAGG